AUUUAAGUAGUUUAUAGAAAAUAGUAAAUUGUGGGUUUACAGAAAUAUUAUUCUUAAGUA
rnacentral:tRNA from 1 species